rnacentral:rRNA from 1 species
UGAGGAAUAUUGCACAAUGGGCGCAAGCCUGAUGCAGCAACGCCGCGUGCGGGACGAAGGCCUUCGGGUCGUAAACCGCUUUUCUGGGGGAAGAGCAAGGACGGUACCUCAGGAAUAAUUCUCGGCUAACUACGUGCCAGCAGCCGCGGUAAAACGUAGGAGGCGAGCGUUAUCCGGAUUUACUGGGCGUAAAGCGCACGCAGGCGGUUCUGUUAGUCGGACGUGAAAGCUCUCGGCUUAACCGGGAGAGGCCGUUCGAUACUGCGGGGCUUGAGGUAGGGAGAGGAGUGCGGAAUUCCCGGUGUAGUGGUGGAAUGCGUAGAUAUCGGGAGGAACACCUGUGGCGAAAGCGGCAUUCUGGCCCUCACCUGACGCUGAGGUGCGAAAGCGUGGGUAGCAAACA